CAAUAGCGUAUAUUAAAGCUGUUGCGGUUAAAAAGCUCGUAGUUGGAUUUCUGUCAAGGACAACUGGUCCGCCCUCCGGGUGAGCACAUAGUUUGGUCUUGACAUCUUGCUGGAAGCUGUUGCUGCACUUGGCUGUGUGGCGCAGUGUUCAGCACUUUCACUUUGAGGAAGUUGGAGUGUUUCAAGCAGGCACAUGCCUUUGGACACAGUAGCAUGGAAUAAUUAGAUUGGGCUUUUGCUCCAAUUUGUCGGUUUCUGGAGCUGAGGUGAGUAUUAAUGGGGAUUGUUGGGGGCAUCCGAAUUUAGCCGUCAGAGGUGAAAUUCUUGGAUCUGCUAAAGACGGACAACUGCGAAAGCGUUUGCCCAGGAUGUUUUCAUUGA
rnacentral:rRNA from 1 species